UCCCUUGUCGUCUGUCAUCAAGAAUGAGAACUUGUAACAGUGUUUUUGAAUGAGAAAGGUGGUAGAGCUCAGCUCGAAAGUGGCAUCCCGAUGCUAUUACCUUACCCCCUUUUUAUAGAGAAGAUAGUUGUAACCGUCGGAUAUGGUCUCGCAUUUUGUGGCAUAGAAUCAUUGGGCUGUAAUCUCGUGGUGGGUUAUUAAUUUCCAUGAAUUACGCCACGAUCUUUGAAGGAUAACUGUCCAGGAUGGUUAUGAUAAGUUGAGUGAAUCAGCCGACU
rnacentral:lncRNA from 1 species